CUUCAAAUAGUUUUACUUCUGGUAUGUUUAGUUUGUCUCGCUUCAGUAAUUUAGCCAAGGUCGUUUGACUGAUGUUAUUGAAACUAUCAGAGGCUACCACUUCCCCUGCAUUAGACUCUAUAACAUUCCAACAUCGUUUUUCUAAUUCUUUCUCAUCAAAACGAGUCGCUUGCUUCAAAACAUCCAGCACAUUUUCAGGAUUUAAAAUUUCCAGCAGGAAGUCAACACAUUUCUCAUUGAGCGAAGGAAUUAUGUAUUUGUUUGCCAAAUACAUGGUGGCAACAACAUUGUCUGCGGUCAAUGUACAUUCCUCCGUGUAAAGAAAUCUCAAAAACUGCUCCAAACUUUCCUCGUCUAUAUUAAAGAAAUAAACAAUGGAAUCUUUCACAGCGAAGCCGCCAUAAAACAUGGCAUGAAAUACGGCGCUACUUGUGCUCAAGACAUAUUUAUGUGCAUAGAAUGUCUUGUCUGAACCUUCGCAAGUAAAGCUGAUGUCACUCAUGUCUGAAUUGUUGAACAUAUGACGGUUUCUUUCUAAGAUGGUGUUCUUUGUCGACUGCCAGUCCACAUUCGAUUGAACAGAGCGGGCCAUUUUCAAGAAUUGUAGAUGUGGAAUACUAUCGGGAGUACUUGAAUGCAAGAACAAGAAUUGUGCAAGACAAUCGCGGAAGUAUAUAGAUUAUAGAAUAAUUGAAAGCGAAACGUAAUUUGAUAUGCUUUAAGGCCGGAUUCCACGAGGCGGAA